AGAUAAAGCGGGACCUCCUCUCUGGUAGAGGUGCAGGGGGCAGUACUCAACAUGAUCACAGAGGGAGCGCAGGCCCCUCGAUUGUUGCUGCCGCCGCUGCUCCUGCUGCUCACCCUGCCAGCCACAGGCUCAGACCCCGUGCUCUGCUUCACCCAGUAUGAAGAAUCCUCCGGCAAGUGCAAGGGCCUCCUGGGGGGUGGUGUCAGCGUGGAAGACUGCUGUCUCAACACUGCCUUUGCCUACCAGAAACGUAGUGGUGGGCUCUGUCAGCCUUGCAGGUUAGGGGGAGCCUGGGGUGGGGGAUGGGGUGGAGGGAAGGACUGUCUGGGGGGGUCACCCAAAACUGGGCACUUUCUUUCUCUGGGACUUCCAAGGGUGGCCCUGAGGCCCUGAUCGUGACCAUACCUCAGGGUUUCUCAACCUUGUUACUAUUGACAUUUGGGGCUGGAAAUUCUUGGCUGGGGGAGGGGAUUGCUUACCUGUGUAUUGUGGGAUGUUUUGUAACACCCCUAGCCUUCCACUAGAUGCCAGUAGCAAUUCUCCCCACCAGCUGUGACAACCAAACAUGUCAGCAGACAUUGCCAAAUGUCCCCUGGGGGUCAAAAUCACCCCUGAUUGAGAACCACUGACAUAGCUCACACAUAUUGAGCACCUCCUGCACACUGGAAGCAUUGCAGGUGGGGUGCAGCUUGGUAUUUCCCUAAUUUUGAUGACAGCUCAUGUUUAUUGAGUGCUUACUGUAUAUGGACACACUGUGGGGGCGGGAAAGUUUGGGGAAUUCAAAGGGCAGCUCUAGGCCCCUAAUUAUGAUGACACUUCACAUUCAUUGAGCACUCCCUGUAUACCAGCUGCAUGGCAGGGUUGGGAGAUGAGCUUGAGGAUUUCUGAGGGUAGCUCUAGUCUCCUGAUCAUGAUUUCCAGCUUGCAUGGAUUGAGCCCUUACCGUAUGCCAGACCUGUUUUCUGCUUGCUUACUAUAUAUCCCAGAUACACCGUGGGCAUGGGGAGCUUGGGGAUUUUUGAGGGCAGCUCUGGGCCCCAAGUCAUGUCAACAGUUCAUCACAUCUAUUUGGCAUGAACAGCAUACCUAGGGCUAUGCAGUGGGUUGGGGAUAGAUCUGGGGUUAUUUCUGAGGAGGCCUCUGAGGUCAUAGGGAUGAUGGCUCAGGUUUAUUAAGCACUUUCUAUUUACCUACUACCAUGUAGUGUGGUGAUCUGGUGGGUUUCUGACAGCAGCCCUUGGUUCCUAGUCCUUACCUUUGCUUACUGCGGACCUGGUGUUGGCCUUGCCAGCCUUCCAAUGGUAACUCCAGAUGCCUGAUUGUGAAGGUAAAUGACAUUAUCAAGCACUUAUUGUAUAUCCACUGCUUCCCAUUCAGUAUCCCAAUAUCCCUAAAAGGUAAGGACUUAUCAAUCCAUCGCACACGCACUUGCCUAGCAACCCUUCGUGUCUGCCCACACUCUGGAGUCCCACAUGCCAUUCUUGUUAGCUCAUGCCAGGAUGGGAUGUGUGUGCUCUUCUCCACAGGUCCCCACGAUGGUCCCUGUGGUCCACAUGGGCCCCCUGUUCAGUGACGUGCUCUGAGGGCUCCCAGCUGCGGUACCGGCGCUGUGUGGGCUGGAAUGGGCAGUGCUCUGAAAAGGUGGCACCUGGGACCUUGGAGUGGCAGCUCCAGGCCUGUGAGGACCAGCAGUGCUGUCCUGAGAUGGGCGGCUGGUCUGGCUGGGGGCCCUGGGAGCCUUGCUCUGUCACCUGCUCCAAAGGGACCCGGACCCGCAAGCGAGCCUGUAAUCACCCUGCUCCCAAGUGUGGGGGCCACUGCCCAGGACAGGCACAGGAAUCAGAGGCCUGUGACACCCAGCAGGUCUGCCCCACACACGGGGCCUGGGCCACCUGGGGCCCCUGGACCCCCUGCUCAGCCUCCUGCCACGGUGGACCCCACGAACCUAAGGAGACACGAAGCCGCAAGUGUUCUGCACCUGAGCCCUCCCAGAAGCCUCCUGGGAAGCCCUGCCCGGGGCUAGCCUACGAGCACCGGAGGUGCACCGGCCUGCCACCCUGCCCAGUGGCUGGGGGCUGGGGGCCUUGGAGCCCUGUGAGCCCCUGCCCUGUGACCUGUGGCCUGGGCCAGACCAUGGAACAACGGACGUGCGAUCAACCUGUGCCCCAGCAUGGGGGCCCCUUCUGUGCUGGCGAUGCCACCCGGACCCACAUCUGCAACACAGCUGUGCCCUGCCCUGUGGAUGGAGAGUGGGACUCGUGGGGGGAGUGGAGCCCCUGUAUCCGACGGAACAUGAAGUCCAUCAGCUGUCAAGAAAUCCCGGGCCAGCAGUCACGCGGGAGGACCUGCAGGGGCCGCAAGUUUGACGGACAUCGAUGUGCCGGGCAACAGCAGGAUAUCCGGCACUGCUACAGCAUCCAGCACUGCCCCUUGAAAGGAUCAUGGUCAGAGUGGAGUACCUGGGGGCUGUGCAUGCCCCCCUGUGGACCUAAUCCUACCCGUGCCCGCCAGCGCCUCUGCACACCCUUGCUCCCCAAGUACCCGUGAGUGAGAGGGCAAAGUAUGCCUGGGAGGGGGUCAUGAUAUUACAGGCGGGAGAGUCGGCUACCCCAGGAAACCAGGGUUUCCACUGCUGAAUCUAAGGUAUCUGCCUUGCCGAGUGCCACCUCCCAGCUGCAGGAAGUGGGGAGAAACUAAAGAAGAUGAGAAAGAAGUUCUUGGAGGAUAAUUCGUAGCCUCUGUGCCCCUCAGUCACUUGUUCAGUCACUCAUCCACUCUCCCAUUCACUUAGUCCUUCAUGUGUCAUUGACUCCGACCUUCAGUUACCCAUGCUUUUAGCUGCCAUCACUCAGGCCUCCAUUCACUGCCUGCCUCCCACAGUCACUCAUGCCUCCAUCCACUUUGUCAGCAUCUCACUGAGCCAAGGCACUCCAAGGCUUUUUCAGCAACAGUUGCAGAUACACACAGCCCAGAUCCUGUGGAUCCUCCAAGGGACCCAGCUGAGCAGGCCCCUGACAGGAGGCAUAUGAGGAACAGCUGGUGCAUGCAACAGGUGCUUGCCACCUCAACCUAGGUCCAGGAAGCUGACUGGGCCUCCCAGGGCAGGUAGGGGUUGGGAAAGGCAUUCCUGGCAUCAAGACUGUGAACGGAGCCUUGGAGCUAGGUGAUUAGCUGCUAUAAGUGUUUCCAGGUGCCAGAGGGGCCCAGGUGUUAGAGAGGGUUAAAAUGUUCAUCCCUUUUCUUCCUUCCACAUACAUCAAGCUACUAGAUUAAGUGAACUAUUCCCAGCUCGUGGAAGGGCUGCCAUCUGGGAAGGGAUCUCCCGGCUGGGGGGGUUAGAGUGGGGCCUGAAGAUGAAUUAGAGGUGUUGAAUGGAGGCACAAAGGACUUGAGUGAGCGAGAGACUGAGUGGAGGAAGAAGCAAUUGAGAGAACUGGGAUGGGAGUGAAUGGAGGGCUUUCCUAGUGGGACAAAUAACCCAGGUAAAGACCUUUCUGGACAGGGACUGAGCUUGAAUAAAGUGGAGGAGACAGAGAGAGAGAUUGGCUUGGGGCAGGGAUUUGGGCCCAACAAUAAGGCCUUGAAUGUCAGGACAAGGCAUUGAGUUUUUUCCUGGAGGCAGUGGAAAGAGAUAUAAAGGGUAUAUAUUUCGGAGGUAAAAGAAAGUAGCUCAUGCCAACAAGUAACAUUCACCAGCAUUUAUUGAGCACUUGCUGUGUGCCAGGCACUGCUCUGAGCACUUUACCUGAAUUAACUCAUUUAUCCUCAUUCAACCCCGUGAGGUGAGUAUUAAUAUUACUAUUCCUACCAUUCUCAUUUUGCAGAUGAGGGAAACCGAGGCACAGGGAAGCUAAAGAAAUUGCCCAAUAUCCUAUAGCUAAAAAGUAGUGUUGGGAGGCCAGGCACAGUGGCUCACGCCUGUAAUCCCAGCAACACUUUGGGAGGCUGAGGCAGGAGCAUCACUUGAGCCCAGGAGAUUGAGGCUGCAGUGAGCUAUGAUUGUGCCACUGCACUGCAGCCUGGGCAACAGAGUGAGACCCUGCCUCAAAAAAAAAAAA
rnacentral:sRNA from 1 species